AGCACCAAGCAACCUAUUCAAACGACACAUGUGAACAGCUAAUCUGACGUCUUCAGGCAAAAAUGCCACAAACAGUCAACUGUAACAUCUAAAUAUUCAGUCAAAAUGGUUUGGAUCAGCAGGAUUUGUUACCGGAAGUACGGUAACUUCGUGGACAACCUGCGUCUGUAUGUGCGAGGAGGUAGUGGGGGGAUGGGGCUGCCCCGUCUGGGGGGUCAGGGGGGGAAAGGGGGAGACGUGUGGGUGGUGGCUCAGAACGCGAUGACUCUGAAGAGGGUCAAGGAUAAGUACCCCCAGAAACGCUUAAUCGCUGGAGUAGGAAUCAACAGCAGGGGGCAGAAAGGAGAGGACCAAGAAGUCAUGGCUCCUCCUGGCAUUACUGUCACCAACGAUGAUGGAAAGGUCCUCGGUGAGCUGAACACUGAGAGAGAUCGGGUGCUGGUGGCCAGAGGGGGUCAAGGAGGAUCCUACCACUCAGAGUUCCUGCCCAGUAAGGGCCAGACCAGACAGAUACGACUGGACCUCAAACUCAUUGCUGACCUCGGCCUGGUGGGGUUCCCCAAUGCAGGAAAGUCCUCUCUACUGACUGCCCUGUCUCACGCCAAACCCCAGAUUGCCAGCUAUGCCUGUGAGUAUUGAUCACCACUGACUGCACCGGAGAUUGGCAAGGUCAUGUAUGAAGACCAUAAACAGAUCUCAGUGGCAGACCUCCCAGGGCUGAUAGAGGGGGCCCACAUGAAUAGAGGCAUGGGCCACCAGUUCCUCAAACACGUGGAGAGGACCAGACAGCUGCUCUUUGUGGUGGACGUUUGUGGUUUCCAGCUGGCAAGCAAAACGCCCUUUAGGUCUGCUUUUGAGGCUGUUCAACUUUUAAUUAAAGAGUUGGAGCUGUAUAAGGAGGAUCUCCCGUGUAAGCCUGCUGUGUUGGUGGUCAAUAAGAUGGACCUGCCUGAUGCAGAGGACAAACUCACAGAGCUGCAGGAGCAACUCCUAAACCCACACGAGUUCUCCCACCUGUUACCCGACGAUAUGCUUCCUAAGAACAACAUGGUCUUCAGACACGUGGUUCCUAUCUCAGCUGCCACCGGUUUUGGCAUCGCACACCUCAAGACCUGUAUCCGCCAAUCACUAGACAAGGAUGCCUCUAUGGCAACGGACUCCCUGCACCGUGAUAGGCUACAGGCGCUGAGAGGGGCAGUCCCAGCCAAGAACACACUCACAUGGGGCCCCACCGCCUCAGUUUGAGCUGAACUGUAGAACAUUCAGGGUUAGUAUGUUCUGCAGUUUUGAAAAAGGGUUUGAACUUGAUUCUUGUUCACUCAACCUGGAACGUUUUCAAUAUUGUGGAAGUCAGGGUGGUGUUCCUACCUAUCAUACCCUAGGUAGGAUGACUCCUCGACAUUCAUCCUGGCUCUGCACCCUGCUUCAGACUAUUUAUGGAAAACACUAACGAUGAUGUCACCCACAGUCAUAACCCAGGCAAGGGUGUUGUCGUCCUGCCUUCCCCUUAUGACCACAAUAUGGUUGAGGAAGAGGGCUGACAAAAAGGGGAGGAAGUACGUUUGUGUUUUUCUGCUGGAUGUUGUCUCUGACUGUUUGAUGUAAUAUGUUGCUUUUCCACCAUGUAGUAAUAAACAUGUUAAUUAAUGCUGCCUCCUUUAGCAAUAACCUUACCUUAAGGGAAACUAAACAUACACAGAAAAUAUCGAUGAAAGUUUUAUUUUAUAUUAAAUAUAUUACAAUACUGAAUGAUAUUGUAAGAAAAGAAAAAAAAAUAUGGGCAUUGAUUUUUGCAUUGUCAGUCUAUGUACAUACAGCAUACAGUAAAAGACAAGUGCUGUAAUUAUACAGUGGGGUCUUAAUGAUUGACACCCUCCAUAAAGAUGAGCAAUAAUGACUGAAAUAAUUAAAAUACUACGCUAUAAUGUAUUUUUUUAAACGGGGGAAACGAUUGAUUUAUACUAAUACAGUUUCUCAGUGAAAGAUUGUUUAACAAGUAAUACUUAUUUAUCUCAAAAAGAAAUGUCAAAUUUGACAUCCCUAAAGAUUCUUAGAAAUAAAGUCAGUCAAAAGUUUUGGUCCCAUAUUCCUAGCACGCAAUGACACAUUUUUGCAUCCAACAAGUUUUUAGAGUCAUAAGCUUGGUGUAGUCAUUGUGUGCUGUAGGAAUAUGGGACCGAAUAUGAAACAUUUGACUACUUUAUAAGAACCCUUUGGCGUUUCAAUCAUUCUGACCCCUAACCUUUUUGAGGUAGAUCUUUCUCUGAGCAAAAUAUUAUCAAAUAAUAUAAUUUCCCAAUUUUUUUUGUUACAUACAAUUUAGGUCAGUAUUUGAAUGAUUUAUUUUACAGUCAUUAUUGCUCAUGCAGGGUGGCAAUCAUUUGGGAACCGACUUUAUAUAGAUCUUGUAGCGGUACAUAUGAAGGUUAAGGUCGCAGUAGGAGCAUAUUGCAGCAGGAUGGGACUGCAUGGUGGAUUCAGAGGCCUGAUAUAACCUACAUCUCAGACUGCACGGUGCGUUCAGAGACCUGAUAUAACCUACCUCUCAGUAGACUGCAUGGUGCGUUCAGAGACCUGAUAUAACCUACAUCUCAGACUGCAUGGUGCAUUCAGAGACCUGAUAUAACCUACUUCUCAGUAGACUUCAUGGUGCGUUCAGAGGCCUGAUAUAACCUACAUCUCAGACUGCACGGUGCGUUCAGAGACCUGAUAUAACCUACUUCUCAGUAGACUGCAUGGUGCAUUCAGAGGCCUGAUAUGACCUACAUCUCAGUAGACUUCAUGGUGCGUUCAGAGGCCUGAUAUAACCUACAUCUCAGACUUCAUGGUGUGUUCAGAGGCCUGAUAUAACCUACUUCUCCACAGGCUACAGCUGGGUGCUUGGUUGUAUUGAUACAUUCAAGAAUCUGUCCCUACUUUGUGAGCGUUUGGACGUUUCUCUGUGGGUCCGGUUGGGUUACGUCAGUCAAGCCACUAAUACAGAUAACACCCAUCAGACAAGUUACAUCUUGUUACCUGGACAGGUUCCACCUGCCACCAUCCUAACGUCUAAUAUACCUCAAUCCUAUGACCUGCAGGUAAAUUAUCAUAGAUGUCAGAAUUAAGACAAUAUGAUAUUUAAAAUAUUGCUUGACAAGUAUGAUCCUUUAUUUUCAUAUUACCACGGCCUAGGGAAUCCCUUGGUCAAAUCUCAAGUUACUAAGCACCAGCCAAUCAUAUCGUAAUUAAAAUAAGACAAGAGUGAUGAGAACUUUAGUCAACAUGAGCUCACCUGCACAGAUCUCUAUAGCAUAAUGCACCCCAUGUUGCCAUAGCUGCGUCCCAUCCUCAUACCAUAAAAGUACAGAUCUUCACAUGCCAGAGUGGUCCGAGAUGAGUGUGUGCUUUAAAAAACUAAAAUGUCUGCAUCAUAUCGCCGUUCCACUCAACGCACAGAAGAACAACAAUGCAGUUGGUCUGUCUGAAUAACGGCUGUACACAACACUGAGAAGUGAACAUAUAAAGGUACUUAAGAGUUUAAAAAAAUACUUGAGACUUGUCAAACAGUAGCAAUAUUAAUGUGAUAUUGUGGUGAUCUUAAUAUCUUUGCAGUCAUAAUGCAUACAGUAGAAAAUCAAAACGAUCAGUGCCCACAUUUUAAACUUAAGCAUACGGAGUUAACAUACAGCAGGCUUAACUGAUAUGGACAGUACAGUAACUACGGGAUGGGGGUUGUGACUUCUGUACAAAUAAGUUUCCCUUUAGCCACAGAUCUAAGAUCAGCUUUCCACUCCCCAAUUCACAACAUUUACCAUCAGGGGGGUAAGAUACAAAACUGACCUUGGAUCAGUGACUAGGGACACUUUAUCCUACUCUGAGUAGGUAAGAACCUGAAUCUUAAGCCACAUUUAAACCACUAGAUUACUUGGGCCAUUCAUGAAAAUGUUUGAGACCUGGUUGAUUAUGUUGAAAACCUGUUCACUACUGAUAUGGGGUUUAUGGUAUGAAAUUGCAAGAAGAUAACAGCAAUUGGCAAUCAAGGAAAAAACUAUUUCAAUGACAUGCUUAUUUCGUAUUACAGCCUCAUAGACAGAUUACUAGAGAACAGCGAUAGUGUGCUAGCUAGUAGAUCCAUUGUCAUUCUGUUGGUCUUAUAAAUCUCAAACAGCAAGCACUGUACAGGACACUUCAUUUACAGACAGCAGGGCAAACUUACAGUAGGAAACAAAACAAAAGCAAAAAUGCACAUUUUAAUAAUUUUAUCCAAACAAAUUCCAAAUUCAUCUGACACAAUGUUCAGUUUCCACAUUGUUAUUCCCACAUCGUCCAGUUGGAUCUCAGUGGCGUUGUCAGUUCCAGUUGUAUCUAUCUGUUAUGUCUGGUCUCACACUGUACACCAGGGGCGGACUGGGACCAGAAAUCGGCUCUGGCAUUUUAAACACAACGGCCCAUUUCUUUCCUCGAGGCCCCCAUUAUUAGCAAGAUAAUUAUCAUUUUGCCCCCCCAAAAACAAGUAAGACCCACUGUGGCCCACUGUGUAAAAAAUGGACCAGGCCAUCUUGCAUUUGCCCAAAAUGCCAGAUGGCCAGUCUGUCCCUGCUGUACACACAGACCGUAGUGUGGAAUGAUUAUAGUCACAGGACAUUUCUCCAACUUCUCUAAACCACCAUGGCAAAAUGAACAUGUAUAUCACAUCUAAAACUACAAAAAAAAACACUUGUUCUCUCCCCUCUGUAGCGAGGAAGGGCUCAUGGGACGAUGUUAGUUCAAAAUAUAUUCAUCAUUAUCAAUAUCCAAAUGGAUAAAAUGCUCAGUUAAUGUAAUAAAUCAAUGACAUUCUUAAGUUUACUGUGUUAAUUAUGACGGGCUGUGACUGAGUGCAUUACUCAGAGAAACGGAGGACACAAAGAGGAAAUAUAGAACACUGUUUGUACAUUCUGCUGUGGAAGAAAAAGAAAGCUGGAGUGUUCACACAGACACACGGGAGAGAAGAGAGAGAGUUCAGCCAGAAAUGAAAAGAGAGAAACCGGGGUCUCUACAAAGACCUACGGAGACCCUGUCUGUCUACAACACGAACCACAGCAGGAGGAGGAGAGGGGGAGCAUCCCUUCAUCAUUCGCCUCCCAGUAAGUAAAAAAGAAAAGCACACAUUACUCUGCCUUUAAGCUGUACAUAUUUACAACGAUAACCAAAUCCUUCAGGAAAACCUGACACGGCGAAAGAAAGAGAACGGAGUGGCUAGGGUCUAGGGUCUAGGGGCUAGGAUCUAGGGUCCAUGUCAGGGGCAGUUGGCUAGUAUAAUGUGUGAUACAGUUCAUAAUGAGUCGCUGAUCACAGAGAUAGAAGAAGCCUAUAAUGUAAAGAAAGCUUAAAGGCCUACAGUACGUAUGACAUCACCAUCCCCCGCAUGCUGUCCGUCCCAGACUUCUUCUCCUUUAUGACACUAGGAAGAGUUGAUUAACAGGGGGUUCUCAUGCAUACAGUGUUGGAGUUUUCUACAGUAAUUAAACAGCGUGCUUCAAAAUGGUAGAGAAAUCUGCCGAUAUGAUAGCUGUCCGCGCCCCUCAACAGAGAGGAGCACCAAUCAGAGGAGAGAGUUUACAUAGGGGCAGGGCUAGAGGGGGGUUGGGGGGAGAGGUGAGUAAGGUAAGGUGGGACAGUUUGAGGGAGGAGCUAGAAGAAUGUGGUGGAAGCUGGGGGAUGUUGGGGUGUUGGGAGUGGGGGAGACAUCCACAACGAGGCCUCUCCUCUCUGUCUGCACUGUUACCAUCACAACAGCUUUGCUUUUUCCUCACCAAUGAGUGAAGGGCUGAUCUCUGGUGGAUCUCCAACUAAUCUGAAAGGGAUCUUGUCUUGCCUCGUUCUGUCUUGGCUUGUCAGUGUAGGAAUGACAGAUGGCCCCUGUAGCGUCCCCUACAGAGCAGGUCAGGUCUGACGGACCUCGCACACACUCUCACACAUUCUCACACACUCUCACACCUUCCUCCU